CAUGCAAGUCGAGCGAAUCGACGGGAGCUUGCUCCCUGAGAUUAGCGGCGGACGGGUGAGUAACACGUGGGCAACCUGCCUAUAAGACUGGGAUAACUUCGGGAAACCGGAGCUAAUACCGGAUACGUUCUUUUCUCGCAUGAGAGAAGAUGGAAAGACGGUUUACGCUGUCACUUAUAGAUGGGCCCGCGGCGCAUUAGCUAGUUGGUGAGGUAAUGGCUCACCAAGGCGACGAUGCGUAGCCGACCUGAGAGGGUGAUCGGCCACACUGGGACUGAGACACGGCCCAGACUCCUACGGGAGGCAGCAGUAGGGAAUCUUCCGCAAUGGACGAAAGUCUGACGGAGCAACGCCGCGUGAACGAAGAAGGCCUUCGGGUCGUAAAGUUCUGUUGUUAGGGAAGAACAAGUACCAGAGUAACUGCUGGUACCUUGACGGUACCUAACCAGAAAGCCACGGCUAACUACGUGCCAGCAGCCGCGGUAAUACGUAGGUGGCAAGCGUUGUCCGGAAUUAUUGGGCGUAAAGCGCGCGCAGGUGGUUCCUUAAGUCUGAUGUGAAAGCCCACGGCUCAACCGUGGAGGGUCAUUGGAAACUGGGGAACUUGAGUGCAGAAGAGGAAAGUGGAAUUCCACGUGUAGCGGUGAAAUGCGUAGAGAUGUGGAGGAACACCAG
rnacentral:rRNA from 1 species